rnacentral:rRNA from 1 species
UACAUGGGGUGCAAACGUUGCUCGGAAUUAUUGGGCGUAAAGCGCGCGUAGGCGGUUACUUAUGUCGGAUGUGAAAGCCCUCGGCUUAACUGAGGAAGUGCAUUCGAAACUGGGUAGCUAGAGUACUAAAGAGGGUCGCGGAAUUCCCGGUGUAGAGGUGAAAUUCGUAGAUAUCGGGAGGAACACCGGUGGCGAAGGCGGCGCACUGGACCACAACUGACGCUGAGGCGCGAAAGCUAGGGGAGCAAACAGG